GAUGAACGCUGGCGGCGUGCUUAACACAUGCAAGUCGAACGAUGAAGCCCAGCUUGCUGGGUGGAUUAGUGGCGAACGGGUGAGUAACACGUGAGUAACCUGCCCUUAACUCUGGGAUAAGCCUGGGAAACUGGGUCUAAUACCGGAUAGGAGCGUCCACCGCAUGGUGGGUGUUGGAAAGAUUUAUCGGUUUUGGAUGGACUCGCGGCCUAUCAGCUUGUUGGUGAGGUAAUGGCUCACCAAGGCGACGACGGGUAGCCGGCCUGAGAGGGUGACCGGCCACACUGGGACUGAGACACGGCCCAGACUCCUACGGGAGGCAGCAGUGGGGAAUAUUGCACAAUGGGCGCAAGCCUGAUGCAGCGACGCCGCGUGAGGGAUGACGGCCUUCGGGUUGUAAACCUCUUUCAGUAGGGAAGAAGCGAAAGUGACGGUACCUGCAGAAGAAGCACCGGCUAACUACGUGCCAGCAGCCGCGGUAAUACGUAGGGUGCGAGCGUUAUCCGGAAUUAUUGGGCGUAAAGAGCUCGUAGGCGGUUUGUCGCGUCUGUCGUGAAAGUCCGGGGCUUAACCCCGGAUCUGCGGUGGGUACGGGCAGACUAGAGUGCAGUAGGGGAGACUGGAAUUCCUGGUGUAGCGGUGGAAUGCGCAGAUAUCAGGAGGAACACCGAUGGCGAAGGCAGGUCUCUGGGCUGUAACUGACGCUGAGGAGCGAAAGCAUGGGGAGCGAACAGGAUUAGAUACCCUGGGAGUCCAUGCCGUAAACGUUGGGCACUAGGUGUGGGGACCAUUCCACGGUUUCCGCGCCGCAGCUAACGCAUUAAGUGCCCCGCCUGGGGAGUACGGCCGCAAGGCUAAAACUCAAAGGAAUUGACGGGGGCCCGCACAAGCGGCGGAGCAUGCGGAUUAAUUCGAUGCAACGCGAAGAACCUUACCAAGGCUUGACAUGUUCUCGAUCGCCGUAGAGAUACGGUUUCCCCUUUGGGGCGGGUUCACAGGUGGUGCAUGGUUGUCGUCAGCUCGUGUCGUGAGAUGUUGGGUUAAGUCCCGCAACGAGCGCAACCCUCGUUCCAUGUUGCCAGCACGUAAUGGUGGGGACUCAUGGGAGAUUGCCGGGGUCAACUCGGAUGAAGGUGAGGACGACCUCAAAUCAUCAUGCCCCUUAUGUCUUGGGCUUCACCCAUGCCACAAUGGCCGGUACUAUGGGUUGCCAUACUGUGAGGUGGAGCUAAUCCCCAAAAAGCCGGUCUCAGUUUCGGAUUGGGGGCCGGCAACUUCACCCCUUGAAGCUCGAAUCGC
rnacentral:rRNA from 1 species